UUAUCCUCUCACACGAACACGAGCACCAUACCAGCAGCAGCCGCACUCGAGUACCUUCUAGGUUCUCCGCCGCCGGCUGCGCGACGGGCCGUCGCCCGCGCCUCCCACCGCAGCACGCCGCAAUGGAGGCCGAGCGCCCAUGGCGUCACCCGAGGACACCUUCCAGCCGCCGUUCUCCUUUAAAUUCAUCGGGAUCCGGCCUGAUCCGGACGGAUCCGGAUGCCGGCGGCCCAUUCCCGACCUCCCUGCCUCGCCUGGUUCGUCGGCCACUCCGAUGUCGUCAUCUUCGUCACGGGAUCCAGCGCUACCGAUGGCUAGCCUCCUCCUCGCCUGGAUGUGACCCCCCCACGUUGGCGCCUCCAACACGAGCAGCAACAGCGAACGCCUCGACAAGGGCAUCUCUGGCGUCGUCUUUAUUUUAAUUUUAUUUUAAAGAAGUUUGCCAGAUCAGUGGCCAGAGAAAAGCCAUGGCAAUGAAGUCUGAUUGAUGUCUCGCGAGCGCUCGGCGGUGCUUGAUGUGGUGGAUGCAGAAUAGUAUAGCUCAGAGUAGUAGGCUAGAUCUGAAAAAAAAUUAUCUGUACUUACAUUUUUUGCUGUGUAUUUCUUCAUUUUUUUAUAAAGAAGUUAUGUAUAUUGUAUA